rnacentral:misc_RNA from 1 species
GUAUCUGGCUUACGAAAAUUUGAGACAUAUGGUGUAGUUGGUUCCUUCAAAAGAACACAAUAUUUUGUUAAAAAAUUUCCACAAACAGCAAGAAAUUCAUGGAACAUGCUAAUUUUCUUUUGUUUAUUUCCCCUAAACAAUCUUUGCAUGGAAACUGAGACCAGUGUUUGUUGCUUCCUGAAAAUUUGCUGUUUCAAUUAUUAUAAGUCCUGAAUUUUCCUGACAAUUUUUCGUUUACUUCUGCUUUUCUUUCAAAUGAUGCUGUACUUUUGCUUCCUGUUGCAGGGUUUCCAUCCCUCUGAUUCUA